rnacentral:rRNA from 1 species
CCUACGGGUGGCAGCAGUGGGGAAUAUUGCGCAAUGGGCGAAAGCCUGACGCAGCGACGCCGCGUGAGGGAUGAAGGUCUUCGGAUCGUAAACCUCUGUCAGCAGGGAAGAACGGUCACUGUGCUAAUCAGCAGUGAAUUGACGGUACCUGCAAAGGAAGCACCGGCUAACUCCGUGCCAGCAGCCGCGGUAAUACGGAGGGUGCGAGCGUUAAUCGGAAUUACUGGGCGUAAAGCGCUCGUAGGCGGUAUGUCAAGUCAAGGGUGAAAUCCCCGCGCUCAACGUGGGAACUGCCUUUGAAACUGGCAAACUGGAGUGUGGGAGAGGAGAGUGGAAUUCCAUGUGUAGGAGUGAAAUGCGUAGAUAUCUGGAGGAACAUCAGUGGCGAAGGCGACUAUCUGGCACAUAACUGACGCUGAGGAGCGAAAGCGUGGGUAGCAAACAGGAUUAGAUACCCCUGUAGUC